rnacentral:rRNA from 1 species
UACGGGGGGAGCAAGCGUUGUUCGGAUUUACUGGGCGUAAAGGGCGCGUAGGCGGCCUCUGCAAGUCGACUGUGAAAUCUCCGGGCUUAACCCGGAACGGUCAGCCGAUACUGCAGGGCUAGAGUGCAGAAGGGGCAACUGGAAUUCUCGGUGUAGCGGUGAAAUGCGUAGAUAUCCGGAGGAACACCGGUGGCGAAGGCGGCUUCCUGGACCGACACUGACGCUGAGGCGCGAAAGCUAGGGGAGCAAACGGG